rnacentral:rRNA from 1 species
AUGAGAGGAGCUUGCUCCUUGAUUUAGCGGCGGACGGGUGAGUAAUGCCUAGGAAUCUGCCUGGUAGUGGGGGAUAACGUUCCGAAAGGAACGCUAAUACCGCAUACGUCCUACGGGAGAAAGCAGGGGACCUUCGGGCCUUGCGCUAUCAGAUGAGCCUAGGUCGGAUUAGCUAGUUGGUGAGGUAAUGGCUCACCAAGGCGACGAUCCGUAACUGGUCUGAGAGGAUGAUCAGUCACACUGGAACUGAGACACGGUCCAGACUCCUACGGGAGGCAGCAGUGGGGAAUAUUGGACAAUGGGCGAAAGCCUGAUCCAGCCAUGCCGCGUGUGUGAAGAAGGUCUUCGGAUUGUAAAGCACUUUAAGUUGGGAGGAAGGGCAGUAAGCUAAUACCUUGCUGUUUUGACGUUACCGACAGA